ensembl:lncRNA
AUGAUCAUUUGUGACAGGAAUUAGGUCAGUUUAAUUACCUUAAACUUCAGAUGAGCAUCCACCUCUCUCCUGGCUACUUUUGGAUGUGUAAACAAUGCACAGCCAGCACCAAAGCAGAGAACACCAGGAGCCCCAGCAGCUGCUGGAGACCCUCCCCACACACAAACACCCAGCUCCGUGCCUCAGAGACAAACCCUGGCAGCUUUCCAGGGGUAGAGAUGAUCAUAUGUUAGAAACAGCUUUGGGAACAGACUCUGUCUCCUCUCCCAUCUCUGAGGUGCAUUGUACAAGGGCUGGAUAAUGUAACUGUAAUAUAGAACAUAUUGUAAUAUAGAACAGUGCAGGGCUAAUUUUGAGUCUGCUCCUGAUUUAUCUGUGAUGUCAAGAUAUUCAGUAGAUACCUCGAGAGCAUUUUAAAUAGUCUCUAAAUAAAGCAAGUCAUUAUUUCUUGCUAAAAAUGGGGUUUAAAAUGAGCUAGUUACUGUAAAAAACAACAAACUGUAAAUUGUUUUCCAAUUUCAUAAGUCCCUUUCCUGUUUCCAAGUGAUCUGUGGUAAUAAAGUAUCAACAUGGAGAUCAAAUGCCCCAACAAAAUUAUUUAAUGACUUACAGAAUGUAUAUCCCUACAACCUAAGCUAAGACAAACAUAAUCACACACCCUUUUUAUUACAGUUCUUUAGCCACUGGGGAUAGAAAAAUAAUUUAGCUACCAGUUCACUAUUUUUCAUUGUCAUCCCAUUACCCACAAGUUCUGUUUUCCAUGUAUCUCUUUUUAGGAGCUCCUGAACCAACAAACCUGGAAGGUGCAGCUGUUUGAGCCCUCAGUGGUGAGAGGAAUUUCUGGAUUUUCCAGAAGGAUUGGAAGGGAGGACAUGGGUUCCAGGCUGAGAAGUUGAAAAACCUUUUAGAUGAGACCUCCAGGAACUCAGUCAGUGUAGUAUGAGCUCACCUUUAAUGUCAGGCGAUGUUCUGAUGUUAAAUCUCCAGAAUUUUGCACAAGGAGGAGCAUCCACUGCUGGGGCAGGACAGCUCUCACCCCCCUGCUCUGAGGGCAUCCUGAGAGCUGCCAAAAUCCACCUGGAUGGACAAAGUGAGGAAAAUCCUUCAUUCAUCUGUCCUGAGCUGGGAUGUGCGGCCCUUCCAUCCCUCCCUGAAGGACUCUCCCCACAUUUAGGAUCCCUGUCGUUUCAGGGAUGCUGCACAGCUCUUAAACCCUGCUGGGGAAAACCCAGGAGCAGCAAAUUCCAGAGGGAUUUGUGUGGGAGGAAAUCCUGUGGCCCUGUUUGCCCUGCACAGCCAAAGAUCAUCUGCCUUGUUUUCCACCCGGAGCCGUCUGCAGAGGGGAUCUGAGCCAGCACAACUCCUUGCUAUGGAGACUUGCUCCUCGGUGACGUGAGCGGAGAGUUUUGCAUGAAAAUCAAAAGAACAAUCUCUGAGGAGUCUCUCCUCUGCUCUCAGACUGUCCUGAGAGCACAGCAUGGCCUGAAAUGAAAAAUCACACAUCUCCUUCUCUCUACAGCUGGAAAGGUUUAAUAAUUAAACCAAUUCUUUUGCUGUAACAAUAUGAAAUUAAAGGGUUGGGUUUUUUUUUGCUUACAAAUAAUAGACAGAGGCAAUCUGAGCUAAUCUGGUGUGUGAGUGUGGGGAAGGAUGUGCUGCAGAGCUGCUCUGGGGCAGAUGUUUAAUGACUGACUGAAUAAACCCUGUGUGCCCCAGCUG